rnacentral:rRNA from 1 species
AACGCGAAGAACCUUACCAAGGCUUGACAUAUAGAGGAAAAGUGUAGAAAUACACUCCCCGCAAGGUCUCUAUACAGGUGGUGCAUGGUUGUCGUCAGCUCGUGUCGUGAGAUGUUGGGUUAAGUCCCGCAACGAGCGCAACCCUCGUCCUAUGUUGCCAGCACGUUAAGGUGGGAACUCAUGGGAUACUGCCGGGGUCAACUCGGAGGAAGGUGGGGAUGACGUCAAAUCAUCAUGCCCCUUAUGUCUUGGGCUUCACGCAUGCUACAAUGGCCGGUACAGAGGGCUGCAAUACCGUAAGGUGGAGCGAAUCCCAAAAAGCCGGUCUCAGUUCGGAUUGAGGUCUGCAACUCGACCUCAUGAAGUCGGAGUCGCUAGUAAUCGCGAAUCAGCAACGUCGCGGUGAAUACGUUCCCGGGUCUUGUACACACCG